UUGGGGGUUUGAAUUUAGCAGUAAUGUAUUAUGUGUUAGCGGACGGAGCUCCUUUUAGGAGGUAGUGGACGGUAAGACAUGUGACCGAGGCAUCAUGACAUGCAUCAAGAGUGAGUCAUAGACACAUGUGGAGCAGAGAAUCCGGUCAUUAUCCAAAAUUAAACAUCAUUCAGAAUCAGAUAAUAAAUAAAACGGAAAUAAUGUAAGUUAUGUAUUCUUUUUGUGCGGCCUGGUACCAAUUAACCAGCAGACCAGUGCUGGUCCACGGGCCGGGGGUUGGGGACCACUGUGUUAGACGACCACUGAGGGUAAUACUGCUGAAAUUGAAUGCUGAAUACUAAAUAAUGCUGGAGGAUAUUGCAUAAGCUGUUUUAACACUAGGUAAAGCAGAUCUACGCUUAUUUACUCAAACAUUUCUCUACAACUAACAAAUGAACUAAUAAACUGAUCAUGUGGCACCAAACACAACGUGAACAAAAUCAUUUCUGUUUCUAAGUAUUUGUUUUUGGCUGCAUUCAAAUUUUCUCUUUCUUUGUCCUGCAAUUAAAACAUUCACAUCAUUAGACUUGUCGGAAUAAUUUCAUUUUGUUUAUUUGUUGAUUUUGUUGAACAAAGAUUCAAAGAUCAGAGUCGGUAAACUGAUCUGAUCUUCUAAUCACUAGUGAUCAGGAAAUUGCUAAAACUCUCUCGGGGUGAUGAAGAUGGCAUGACCAGACACUGCUAGUUGUUAGCAUUAGCAUUUAUUUCUUAAAUGACCAUUAAAGAUGGUAAGCGGAGAUGCUUACAAAACUGACGUGUUUAGUUUGUUCUGCAGUGAGUGGAGUUUUCUCCUCUUCCAGGAUCUCUUAAUAAGAUCUUACGAUGGAAUCAUCAGAGGUCCGACCAUGCGUCUCCAAAACAAACCUUCUACACGCUCCUGCUCCAACAGAAACUUGUUUGGCUUUAGGUGAAGGGACAUCAAGCUCUCUAGAACAUCAGAAACCUGUAAAAAAGAAAGAACCUGAAGAUGAAGACAUGUUCUGUAAGACAGAAAGGUGCAUCACUGCCCAGUCUGAUGCUCCACAGCACUCACUAAACUUUCACAUUGUGGUUUUGUAUUUCACAUUAAUUUCAGGUGACCCAAGAUCUUUAUCUGUGGACCAGCAGAAACGUAAAAAAGGAACAACCUGAAGAUCUCCGUAAGUCAUUACGGUGAAUUUGUAUUUACAUGAGAUGAAAGUGUUUAAAUGUAAAUGAUGGAAUUUCAGGUGGAGGGACUUUAAAGACUGUGGAGGUUGUGAACCAUCAGAGCAAAAAUAUUAAGGAGGGGUGUCUGAUGAUGAGGAUGAUGAGGAUGAUCUCUGUACAACGACAGUAUGGGAAAUAAAAGAUGCUGAGUUUAAAAUCAUCUCCUGCUCCAAGUGUACUCUUUCCUAUACAUCUCAAAAUGACCUCCACAAACACAUCAAGAGACACCACUAUGAGGAAUACGAAAGACAGUUACAAUCAGAAGUCAAAUAUGAGAAUCCUGUGACAACAAGCUCCAAAAUUCAUCAAACAGUCUCUGGUGCCCUCAGCUGUAACAUCUCUGAUCAUCAAAUGGAGAAAGCAGUCUAUUCCUGCUCUCAGUGUGGGAGGGGUUUUUCUGACCGGAGUAACCUGAGAAGACACUGGUACAUUCAUACAGGAGAGAAACCGUAUCGGUGCUCAGAGUGCGAGAAGUGCUUCAUCCGAAAAUACGAUCUCCAAACACACCAGGUGUUCACAUGGGAGAGAAACCGUAUCGCUGCUUGGACUGCGUGAAAAGUUUCGUCUGAAAUUUCGACCUCCAGAUACACCGGCGCAUUCACACCGGAGAAAAGCCGCAUUGCUGCUUAUACUGCAGGAAAAGUUUUAAUCAACAGAGUCACCUCCAAACACAUUUACACAUUCACACGGGGGAGGAACCAUAUCAGUGUGAACAGUGCGGGAAGACUUUCAUCCGCUGGAACGAUCUUCAGAUACACUGAUACAUUGACACCGGUGAGAAACCAUAUCAGUGAUGAUGAGGAUGAUGAGGAUGAUCUCUGUACAAUGACAGUAUGGGGUGAAUGUAACUCUUGCUAAAAUUGGUGAGUUUCCUGUUGAAAUCACAGGCACUUUGCUCCAUUUUAAUUCUAAUACUUCUUAAUGUUUUUGUUCCAGAAAUAAAAGAUGCUGAGUGCGGGAAGGGUUUCAGGUUCUGCUUGGUCUGGUAUAAUUUUAAUUGGGUUCAGCCAUCAUAGCUACAAAAAAAGUUCUUAAUCUUUGACACCGCCUUUAAUCCAAUCUGAUGCCCUACUUCUGAUCAAAGUUACCACUGAAAAAAACUCUUUGCUGCUAAAGAGGGCCCCAGAUGGACAGCAUGAAGAUCAUAAUGGGAUUACUGUGGAUGGUACCAGUCGGAAACUGUAAAAAGGACUGUAGAUGCUCUUCAAAAGAACCGUUAAGAACAGUUUGCUUUACAGUUUCCAUCAUUGAACAGUUACUAAUUGGUACAACAGACUUAAACCUGUAACAAGUUUCUGCUCAAACCAGGAGUAUAUUUAACAUUUUUAAAUUUAUAAAGAAAUUAUUUAUGAUGAAGUUCCCUUUUGGGUCUGAUCUCUUAAGGUUUCUUUGUCAUGAAAUCUGAAAGAGUUUUUCUUCACCACCUUCACCCUUUGUGCUGUAUAAAUAAAAUGUAAUUAAAUUGGCAAUAACAAGGUUUGACUUUUAGUUUUUGUCGAGUCAAUAAAAUAUUAACCCUCUACUGCACAGCAUUGCCCUCGGGCAACAAAAUAAUUUCUUAAACCCUAUAUCUAGUGGAUGUCUCUUUAAAUAUUUUGCAAUCAACUAGAAUAGUUAAAAAGUAUCAAAGAACAAUCCAAUAAGGUGUGAGAGUCCAUAUCCAUCAUUAUUUGAAGGCGGGACUUCCUUUUCUGCCACAUGGUCACAGAAGCACAUGGUGUGAGGACAAGCAAAAACAGUUUACAGCCCACAAGAAUGGCUGACUACAAUGGGCUAUACAAGAUUCGGCCUUUCAUAAUUCACAUCCUUACCAAGCUAAAAGAACUGCCUAUCUGUGAGACAUUAAGUGUGGAUGAACAAAUAUUACUCUUUAAGGGCAAGAGCAGAUUUAAGCAAUACCUCCCCAGUAAACCAAAAAAAUGGGGUUACAAAUUCUUGGAGGACGGCAUUCCACACAAUUUUAAGAUUUAUACUGGGAAAGCUGCCUAUCCACCUGAGCUUCCAGAUGUAGGCGCAAGUGGGAAUGUAGUACUGCACCUAGCAAAAACAAUAUCAAAAGAUUUUAAUUUCAUUGUUCUUUGACAACUGGUUGGUGCUUACACUAUAUCUCAUGUCAAAAGAUGGGACAGAGGCUAAAAGAGAAAGGUCGAGGUGCCAUGCCCUGCAGCAGUCUCCACUUACAAUUAGCACAUGGGAGGUGUUGACUUGUUGGAUUCGCUGAAUGCCUUCAAGUCCCAAAUACCACAUAGUCUGUGCAAAUCAUAAAAUGAUGGGAGGAAGCAGGGGCAGGGGCCCAUGGCUCUCAUUCCUAACCAGGACAACAAAAAAAUUUUUUUUGGAGGGGUGGUCGAAAAAAAACAAAAAAAGAUUUUUAUCAAUAAAAUAUCCCAAAAUGAACCAAUAAA